GAGGAGGAGGAGGAGGAGGAGGAGGAGGAGAAGGAGGAGGAGGAGGAAGGAGGAGGAGGAGGAGAAGGGAAGGUAACGGGGGGCCAAGAGGGGAGGAAGCUCGGAUCCUCCGGCGGGUCCGGUGCUAAGCGCAAAGCCAGCACACCCUCGGGGCUGCCUCCCAAGGGGCUCCCCCCGCCCGGCCCCGCUCCCUCCCCACCGCCGCCUCCUCCCAGCCGAACCUGCCCGCCAAGCCCAGCCGUCCCCAGCUCCAUGGAGCCUUCAGGGUCCCUCCGGUGACAUUUCCCACCCGCACGGCCGCUUUCCGCUGCUUCAGGGUCGUUUUGGCACGCAGUUUCUCCGCGCGCAUCCCAGCGCCGGGCCGGUGCGGCACGGCUGGCCCCGCUGCUGUCACACACCAGCCCGCCUCGCCGCUCCUCUUCCUUCCACGGCGAUGGUUCGCUGGGGGAAAGGAGCGUUCCCAGAAAUAAACCAGGCUGAUGACAAGCUGAAAAAUGC